rnacentral:rRNA from 1 species
GACGUAGGAGGCGAGCGUUGUCCGGAUUCAUUGGGCGUAAAGAGCACGCAGCGGUUUGGCAAGUCAGACGUGAAAUCCCUCGGCUCACCCGAGGACCUGCAUCCCAAACUGCCGAGCUUGAGUAUGGGAGAGGGAAGCGGAAUUCCGGUGUAGCGGUGAAAUGCGUAGAUAUCCGGAGGAACACCGGUGGCGAAGGCGGCUUCCUGGGACCGAUAC